AGUGAAUUUGUCAAAGAUUAAUUCAUAGUUGCCAACACUUACUGAACAGGUAGAUAAAAUUAACUUUGUUUAUUUAACAAAUAACUUGGUGCUUUCUAGUUAGUUUAAAAAUAUCAAUAAUUGUUUCCUCACAUGUAUUUAUGUCCUUCCUUCACAGCAUAUAGUCAACCAUAGAGACUCAAUGUAAAGUAUUAUGAUAAUUUAUAUGUCUGAGAAAAUAAGAAGAUUGAUUCAUUGAAAAGUUAAAUGAAUUUGAGAUACAGGUAUUUCUGACUGCCUAGUUACACUGUAUGAAAUACUUUAAAAACUGGCCAGGCGUGGUGGCUCAUGCCUGUAAUCCCGGUACUUUGAGAGGCCAAGAACUCCUGAAAUCAGGAGCUCAAGACCAGCCUGACCAACAAGGUGAAACUCCAUCUCUACUAAAAAUACAAAACAUUAUCUGAGUGUGGUAGAGCACGCCUGUGGUCCUAGCUACUCAGGCGGCCGAGGCAGGAUAAUCACUUGAAUCUGGGAGUCGGAGGUUUUGGUAAGCAGAGAUUAUGCCACUGCACUCCAGCCUGGACAACAGAGCAAGACUCUGUCUCAAAACAAAAACAAGCAAACAAACACACACACACACACACACACACACACACAAAAACACUUAGAAAAACUGUAAACAAUUCAGUCUUGUAUUUGGAAGAAUGGUGACUUGUAAAUUUUGCUGUACAUUAAUGACAAGUCUCUCACUCAAAUAAAGAUAACCUAAGUAAAAUAAUUUAUGUCAGAUGAAAACAUUCCAAAUUUUCUUGGAGAAAAAGCAACAAAAGCCAAUAAAUAAAGGUGGUUCCCAUUACCUAUUUAAUUAUUUAAUAUCUUAAACUAUUAUUAAAUGCAUGCACCACCUGCACUACCCUGACCGAUUAACCCCUUAGCUGAAGGAGUUCAGUUUGUAUUUUUACCAUAUGAUCUGUCUAGAUUCACUCUUUUCAGGAUUGAUAGAUUUUUUUUUUCUUUUUUCUUUUUUUUUUUUUUUUGCUUUCUUAUUCAACUCUACAGUAAAAGAAAAUCUGUGGUUUUAUUUGACAUAACAGAGCUAUCUUCAGCCAUAGCUAGAAGGAGGAUAGUAGGAUAAAGGUCAAUUUUUGUCUUCCUUCACAGCUAACAGAUAUAUGUAGCAUGCUUAAUAAUAACUCUCAAAGUCUGUUGCUCAACCUCCCAAACCAUUAAUUUCCUUCUAGCCACUGCUAGAGUUCAUGCAUGUCAUGAAAGGAAGGCUAGAGGGACAAUUUCUGUAUGCAUAUCUCUGGCCCAUGCCCUUCAAUGAGACCCAAAUAUAAUUAAUUUCUGGGAUUUUUGCAAUAAAUAAUAUGAGAUGACCUCAUUAUAGAAUGAGGGGCAAGAUCCUUGGCCUUGGUCUUUCACAAAUAAUAUGACUUUAUUUACAGAUGAAGAAAAUAAAAUAAAAAUUAAACAUAAACUUUCCUCAACUUCCUGCUUUUAGCCCAGGUAGCAUGUUAUUACUAUUUCUUUUAUAAACAACUGAGUUCUGACUAACAGUCUUUAAGAGGAGCUGCUAUGAGGAAAUAUAGAUAAUAACAAAAUAAUAACAUAUUUUUAAAGCUUUGCCAGCAGCAAAGGGCUCGCAUCUACAUACUCUCAUUUUAUGUGUCCAACCAAUGGUUCCACAUAGCCAUGAAAUCAGCUGUUACAAUAGGAAGACCACCACUGAACAGUUUUGUAACUCAUUUCAGAAUUGACUUUGGUAUGUGCUUAUUGGUGUAUUUCUGUGCUUGUGUCAAUUCAACAAAGCUUCCCAAGCAAGGUUACUUCAAACAUUACUUGGGCCACGGUAAAAGAAAAAUAAAAUUCUGUUGAUUCAGAGUCACCUUCAAUCUCAUGUCAUAAAUUAUGUUUCUCUAGUCUUUGAUAUUGUUUCACAUGUGCAUGAUUAGAUUGGUUGAGGAUAGACUUUGGGCUCAUGAUUUAUUGACUAAUUAUGUGGUUUUCCCACUGUAGCUUGGGUUAAAUCUUACAAGACAGGCUGAAAACUGAAAUUGUUAUGACAUUUUUGUUUUCUCUACACCAUACCAAGUAAUGCUGUUUGAUUGAAUCAAAUAUUUUCUAAAGACUAAAUGUAAUCCAAAAAAUGAUCUGUAAAUGUUCCCAACAGGUGUCCCAAAACCAUAUUUUAGUAAGUUUUUCAAUUGGUCCAACAGUUCUAUAAAUUUUACCUUGAGGUAACUAAAAUGGAAACAUAAUGAAUAUAUUAUCUCUAUUGUCUAAGGACAAACAAAACACCGAAGUUAUUGAGAAUCAGAUUCCCAUGUUAGCAUAAAUGAGUCACCUAGUUUUUUCAACAAAACCAAGUAAUAAAUAAAUCAACACUUUCAGUUUUCUGCCAGUGUCACAGAUGGCAGCCAAUUGGUUUGAUUAAAAAUCUGAUGCUUGCAUGUUUGCAUAGUAAAAGACAGGGUUUUCAGGAAAAAAUCAUUAUACUUCUCACUGUGUUCCACACAAUGUUGAAGGUUAUGUCCAAAUUUGAAAAACAAAUCCAAUUAAACUAGCUACCAUACAAAUAUAUCUUUUGUUAUUGAAAGAGUGAUUUCAGUCGUGAUUUUUCAUUAAUCUAGUUUUGUAAAAAUCAGACUUCCUGUAAACCAAUUGAAAACCUCUACAUUUUACUAUAUGUAUUCAUGGACUUAAUUUCAUCAAAAAUACCAAUAUUCUCUGUGCCCUAACAAGUGUAAUUGCACUAACCUUGUAGUUGAUAUUUACUGAUUGAAAUGUAUAUACACAAAAAUUAUGUAAAACUGAUUAUCUAGAGGUUUCUUCAUUAGCUAGCACAAAUAGUUAUUGUAAACCUUUGUCCUGUAUUUUUUUAAAGUCUGCAACAUGGUGAACCAGUAUGCUUGAUGGCUUUAAUACCUGUGUCUGCAAUUUAUUAUUCAUUUGAAGCAACAAAUUCAGAAUUGUUUGAAAUUAUGAAGGCUAAACAGCAUAAAUACAUUGUGGUUUCUUUUAUAAAUAUUUGCUUUCAUCUUCUGAAUCUUGUACUUGUCUCCAAAAGAAAAAAAAACAGAUGUUAUUUGUCUUAAGCUAACUAUAAAGGUCAUAAAUGAGAGAAUUUUAUGAUUCACUUGAAAUGGGGGAAAAUAUUUAUUCUAUUCUUUCAUUUUAAAUCACGUGGUCAUAGAAAUAAAAAUUUCUAUAUGAGUGAAAAAUAGAUGAACAAGCACAAAACCAGA
rnacentral:lncRNA from 10 species